rnacentral:rRNA from 1 species
GCACAAGCGGCGGAGCAUGCGGAUUAAUUCGAUGCAACGCGAAGAACCUUACCAAGGCUUGACAUACACCGGUAACGCCCAGAGAUGGGUGCCCCUUUGUGGUCGGUGGACAGGUGGUGCAUGGUUGUCGUCAGCUCGUGUCGUGAGAUGUUGGGUUAAGUCCCGCAACGAGCGCAACCCUCGUCCUAUGUUGCCAGCGGGUCAUGCCGGGGACUCAUGGGAGACUGCCGGGGUCAACUCGGAGGAAGGUGGGGAUGACGUCAAAUCAUCAUGCCCCUUAUGUCUUGGGCUUCACGCAUGCUACAAUGGCCGGUACAAAGGGCUGCGAUACCGCGAGGUGGAGCGAAUCCCAGAAAGCCGGUCUCAGUUCGGAUUGGGGUCUGCAACUCGACCCCAUGAAGUCGGAGUCGCUAGUAAUCGCAGAUCAGCAACGCUGCGGUGAAUACGUUCCCGGGCCCU